CGAAGACAAGUGCAAAUUAUGGUCGAUAUUUUUGGUGUUGUCCACAAUCAACUGGGGUUGAAAACAAAUGUUGUGGAAUGUUCGAAUGGAUAUCAAAUUCAAGCCCAAGUUGUCAUACUUACCAGACUCCACCUAGGUCACUAUGCUCGGAAACCUCAACUUCAUCAUCUCCUUCCCCUUCAUCAGACUAUAUCAAAGGAUACUUGAAUGGUGCAAUAAAAGAAUUAGAGGGUCAUACGAGGAUAUUGAGAGAUGUUCUUGACACACUCAAGAAACUUGAUUUAAACAAAAAUGUAGGAUGAACUUUUUUGGAAUUUUUUGGAAAACAAAAAGGCCGAAGCCAUUGUAAUGA